ACAAUCGCUUGCCACGCACAAGCAUCCAAAAAUAAGCAACAGCCUGAUGACCUAAUUACUAGGUGAAAGCGUAUUACAAAAUACCUCUGCCUCUGCUCCCCGAUCCAUCAAAUACAAAAGGCAAACACAUUCCUUUUCAUUAAGGAAUGCAAAGAAAUGCAGAAAAGGAAUCCUAGACUUUCACACAACUGGUCAUUCUGGGAAAUGAACAACUGACUUCUCGAAAUCCUUCAAGAAUAAAGAUUUCAAAUUUCCUCUGAACAACAGGCCCCUCUCCCCAUUCCAUGGCUUCAAACUUUCUUGGAACUUACUAUCUCAGCAAAGUCCAGACCCCAGGACCAGAGGUCUUCCAAGCAGCCAAUGAUGGGCUCUCCUCAGGGAAAACUGAAACAAGUAACAAUCACCAACAAAAAACCCCACAGUCUUGCAGCUGUAUUUGAGAGGGAACUCUGUGCCAAGUGCAAACAAAACUGUUGGCUCUCCUGCCUGCAGGAAAGCAGCUCGGGUGUCCCACAGUGAUCUGCCCAGUCUUAGAGUGACUGCUGAAUGAUUGCAGACCUGCCAUGGAAUAUUCCACAUCAAGUGAAAAUGAGGGUUAGGCUAAAUUGGGAAAAGGCUUUCUAUAUGAUUUAAGUGAAAAAAAAAGCAGAACAAAAAACUACACAAACACUGUGGCCACAAUGAUAUAAAUGUAGUUGAUGAAAAUACAACAUUUAACAGUAAUUUGUGUCAUACUGGUGGGACUAUUUUCACCUUUUCUCUACCUAAAUUUUCUAUAAUUUUUUCACACUACAAGUA